UCUUCCCUCUUUCUUCGUGCCUAAUACAUGCAAGUCGAGCGAACGGACGAGAAGCUUGCUUCUCUGAUGUUAGCGGCGGACGGGUGAGUAACACGUGGAUAACCUACCUAUAAGACUGGGAUAACUUCGGGAAACCGUAGCUAAUACCGGAUAAUAUUUUGAACCGCAUGGUUCAAAAGUGAAAGACGGUCUUGCUGUCACUUAUAGAUGGAUCCGCGCUGCAUUAGCUAGUUGGUAAGGUAACGGCUUACCAAGGCAACGAUGCAUAGCCGACCUGAGAGGGUGAUCGGCCACACUGGAACUGAGACACGGUCCAGACUCCUACGGGAGGCAGCAGUAGGGAAUCUUCCGCAAUGGGCGAAAGCCUGACGGAGCAACGCCGCGUGAGUGAUGAAGGUCUUCGGAUCGUAAAACUCUGUUAUUAGGGAAGAACAUAUGUGUAAGUAACUGUGCACAUCUUGACGGUACCUAAUCAGAAAGCCACGGCUAACUACGUG
rnacentral:rRNA from 1 species